ACCAAGAGGAAAUUGCAAUUUAUUAUUUUUCUUAUUGUGGUAAAAUUCACAUGCAAUUAAAGGCCAAGAUCUCAAGUGCAAUUCAAUGAGCUUUGAAAAAUACAUAUACAGUGUAAUAAACACCGCAGUGAAAUCUUGUAAGCUUUGAAACCAGGUCUCAUAUGGGCUCACGUGCUCUGCUUGAGCUCCUCUUUCCUGUGUCACCAUCUAAAAAGUAUCCUUGGUCAGAAAGCUUAAUACCUCCUCUGAAGACUGAUAAUAUACAUCAUCUUCCUGGACCAGUCUACAAGUGAGGGACAGUGAAUAUUUUGAAUGGCAGCUUUUAGAUAACAAAUCCUCAAAGAGAGAUAGAGUCUUACUCAUCUCUAACAUGUGCUUGACUGUGGAAGACUGCCAAUUAAUAAUGAUUGAGUGAUUU
rnacentral:lncRNA from 1 species